rnacentral:lncRNA from 1 species
CCGCGCGCGUGCGUGCUGGCUGCGUAUGCGUCACGGGCGUCGUGACCUCGCUGUGGCCCCGGCAGCGGCUGCGGGGAAAGUCGGGAGGUGCAUCCGCUUCGGCUGCAGCUAUUUACUGAGGACCCACUGGAUGUCAAGCAUUGUGCAUAGUUUUCUUCGAUUGUUGCAACAUCCCUUGCAAGGUAGGUUCCCAUUUUACAAAGAUGGAAAUACGUAAGUCCAAAGGGUGUUAGUGAUUUUUCCGGGCGCCGGCAUUUAGAAGGUAAUCGGUCCAGUCCAAGGCACUUUUAAAGGCUCUCCACUGCUGUUCUCAUCAUUCCAGCUGACCUGC